rnacentral:rRNA from 1 species
GACGAACGCUGGCGGCGUGCUUAACACAUGCAAGUCGAACGGGCCUGUCUUCUUUUUUGGGGGGUGGGUUGAGUGGCGAACGGGUGAGUAUCACGUGAGUAACCUGCCCUUCGGUCCUGGAUAACCGCUUGAAAGGGCGGCUAAUACGGGGUGGUCCGGUUGGUCCGCAUGGGCUGGUCGGGAUAGAUUCACUGUUUUUGGUGUUUCGGCGGGGGAUGGGCUCGCGGCCUAUCAGCUUGUUGGUGGGGUGAUGGCCUACCAAGGCGGUGACGGGUAGCCGGCCUGAGAGGGUGGGCGGCCACACUGGGACUGAGAUACGGCCCAGACUCCUGCGGGAGGCAGCAGUGGGGGGUAUUGCACAAUGGGCGGAAGCCUGAUGCAGCGACGUCGCGUGAGGGAUGGAGGCCUUCGGGUUGUGAACCUCUGUUCCCGGUGGUGAAGGCCCUGUCCGUGUGGUGGGGUUGACGGUAGCCGGGGAUGAAGCGCCGGCUAACUACGUG